GACGAACGCUGGCGGCGUGCUUAACACAUGCAAGUCGAACGGAAAGGCCCUGCUUUUGUGGGGUGCUCGAGUGGCGAACGGGUGAGUAACACGUGAGUAACCUGCCCUUGACUUUGGGAUAACUUCAGGAAACUGGGGCUAAUACCGGAUAGGAGCUCCUGCUGCAUGGUGGGGGUUGGAAAGUUUCGGCGGUUGGGGAUGGACUCGCGGCUUAUCAGCUUGUUGGUGGGGUAGUGGCUUACCAAGGCUUUGACGGGUAGCCGGCCUGAGAGGGUGACCGGCCACAUUGGGACUGAGAUACGGCCCAGACUCCUACGGGAGGCAGCAGUGGGGAAUAUUGCACAAUGGGCGGAAGCCUGAUGCAGCAACGCCGCGUGCGGGAUGACGGCCUUCGGGUUGUAAACCGCUUUCGCCUGUGACGAAGCGUGAGUGACGGUAAUGAGUAAAGAAGCACCGGCUAACUACGUA
rnacentral:rRNA from 1 species